rnacentral:lncRNA from 1 species
UUUUUUUUUUUUUUUUAAAGACAGCAUCUCACUCUGUCACCAGGCUGGAGUGCAGUGGCAUGAUCUCAGCUCACUGCAACCUCCGCCUCCUGGGUUCAAGCAAUUCUCCCACCUCAGCCUCCCAAGUAGCUGGGAUUACAGGCACAUGCCACUACACCCAGCUAAUUUUUGUAUUUUUAGUAGAGAUGGGGUUUCUCUAUGUUGGCCAGGCUGGUCUUGAACUCUUGGCCUCAAGUGAUCCGCCUGCUUCAGCCUCCCAAAGUGCUGGGAUUAUAGACGUGAGCCACCGUGCCUGGCCUUAUAAUGUCAUUUUAUUAUCCUUUUAAUGUCUGUGGGAUCUGUUGUGGUAACUAUUCUUCACUCCAGUUAUUAGUGAUAUGUGUUCUUUAUCCCUUAAUCAAUCUAGCUAAGGGUUUGCUGGGUUUUUUGAUGCUUUCAAUGAAGUAUCUUUUUACUUUGUUUAUUGUUUUCAUUAUCUGUUUCUUUUCUCCUUUGUUAAUUUCUGCUCUUUGUUGUUUUUUUACUUUUAUGGAUUAUGAGCUUAUUUGCCCUUCUCUCUCCAGUUUUUGAAGGUGGAAGCUUAGGUUAAUGAUUUCAGAUCUUCCUCUGGAUGAGGUGUAAGCUUCCCUAUGAGCACCACCUUGGCUGCAUCCCAGAAAUUUUAAUAUGCAGUAUUGUAUUUUCCUUGUCAUUUAAUUCAAAAUAUGUUUUCAUUGUCCUCAUGAUUUUAUCCUUGAUCCUGAAUUGUUUAUAAGUUUGUGGUUUAAUUUCCUUUUAUAUGGUGUUAUGAAGAUUAUACAAAAGAAACUUGAACUCUCGUUGGCAUUUGAUUCAGUGCUAGAUAGUUUCAAGUCUUAGUUCCUGCCUGUGUUUAUUGCCUCCUGCAGUACCCUGAUAAAUCUCACUCACCCUCAGGUCCCAUAAGCACAUGUGCCCUCUUGCUGCCUCUUUGAAAUUUCAUGCUAGGUGGAACCUCUUUAAAUCUCAUGGUAGCAGGAGUUUUUUUUUUUUUAUAAACCGUUACACGUUUGCUAUUCACUCUGUCUGUAUUCUGGACUUUGUCUCAGAGAGAGCCAUCCUCUCCACCACUCACUUUGGGACUUCUACUCCUAUGUGAGUAAUUCAUAUUUAUUUGAUCAUACCACAGAAUAAAAUUGGAGUGUCUCUAUGCCAUGCAGAAUUGCUAUAAUAAGAGUUUUAUGAGUUCUAUUUUAAUGUCUUCGUGGUCACAGAAUACACUCUAUAUGAUUUCCAUCCUUUGACAUUUAUCAAAACUUGUUCUGUGGCCCAACAUACAGUUUGUAGUGGUGAAUGUACCAUGUGAACUUGAAAAAAAAAAGAGGCAUUCUGGAGUAAUUGGGAAUAUGUUCUACAAAGGUCAAUUAGGUCAAUUUGGUUAAUAGUGUUGUUCAAGUAUUUUAUAUCUUAACUAAUUUUCUGUCUAUAUGUUCUAUUAAUUCCUGAGAAAGGCUGAGAUCUCCAACUAUAAUUGUGAAUUUCUCUAAUUCUUUUAGUUCUAUUAGUAUUUGCUUAAUAUAUCUUGAAGCUCUGUUAUGAGGUGCAAAUACAUUCAGUUUUGCUGUGUCUAGAUGAACUGAUUAUUUUAUCAUUAUGAAAUGUCCUUUCAGCAGGAUGAAUUCUAGGAUGACCCACAAAAUGUCCUUCCUCUCGAGGGUACAUGAACUGAAUAAUCUCCAGGACUUUCAGUAUGAUGGAGUUUACUUCCAGGAUUAGGUUACGUUUUAUGGGCACUAGUGAUUUUAAGAUUGAGAUA